GCCCGGAUGGUGGAAUUGGUAGACACAAGGGACUUAAAAUCCCUCGGGAGAAAUCCCGUGCCGGUUCGAGUCCGGGUCCGGGCACCA
rnacentral:tRNA from 1 species